GGACCUGUGCCUGAACAAAAGGGCCACUUUGAUAGAGUGUACCAUGAGGGUUAAAGCCCCUCCAGCUCCU
rnacentral:tRNA from 1 species